rnacentral:tRNA from 1 species
ACGGCUGUAGCAUAACGGUAGUGCAGCUGCCUUCGAAGCAGUGACGUGCGGGUUCGAGUCCAGCCAGACGUU